rnacentral:rRNA from 1 species
AAUGGAGGCAACUCUGACCCAGCCAUGCCGCGUGGGUGACGAAGGUCUUCGGAUUGUAAAGCCCUUUCGGCGGGGACGAUGAUGACGGUACCCGCAGAAGAAGCCCCGGCUAACUUCGUGCCAGCAGCCGCGGUAAUACGAAGGGGGCUAGCGUUGUUCGGAAUUACUGGGCGUAAAGGGCGUGUAGGCGGCCCGUUAAGACAGGUGUGAAAUUCCUGGGCUCAACCCAGGACGUGCGCCUGUGACUGGCGGGCUUGAGUCCGGGAGAGGAUGGUGGAACUCCCAGUGUAGAGGUGAAAUUCGUAGAUAUUGGGAAGAACACCCGUGGCGAAGGCGGCCAUCUGGACCGGUACUGACGCUAAGGCGCGACAGCGUGGGGAGCAAA